rnacentral:rRNA from 1 species
UGGGGAAUCUUAGACAAUGGGGGCAACCCUGAUCUAGCCAUGCCGCGUGAGUGAUGAAGGCCUUAGGGUUGUAAAGCUCUUUCAGCUGGGAAGAUAAUGACGGUACCAGCAGAAGAAGCCCCGGCUAACUCCGUGCCAGCAGCCGCGGGAAUACGGAGGGGGCUAGCGUUGUUCGGAAUUACUGGGCGUAAAGCGCACGUAGGCGGACUGGAAAGUCAGAGGUGAAAUCCCAGGGCUCAACCUUGGAACUGCCUUUGAAACUAUCAGUCUGGAGUUCGAGAGAGGUGAGUGGAAUUCCGAGUGUAGAGGUGAAAUUCGUAGAUAUUCGGAGGAACACCAGUGGCGAAGGCGGCUCACUGGCUCGAUACUGACGCUGAGGUGCGAAAGCGUGGGGAGCAAACA